UACGUAGGGGGCGAGCGUUGUCCGGAUUUAUUGGGCGUAAAGAGCUCGUAGGCGGCUUGGCAAGUCGGGUGUGAAACCUCCAGGCUCAACCUGGAGACGCCACUCGAUACUGCUAUGGCUAGAGUCCGGUAGGGGACCACGGAAUUCCUGGUGUAGCGGUGAAAUGCGCAGAUAUCAGGAGGAACACCCGUGGCGAAGGCGAGUCUCUGGGCUGAUACUGACGCUGAGGCGCGAAAGCCAGGGGAGCAAACGGG
rnacentral:rRNA from 1 species